AACGAACGCUGGCGGCAGGCUUAACACAUGCAAGUCGAACGGACGUAGCAAUACGUUAGUGGCAGACGGGUGAGUAACGCGUGGGAAUAUGCCCUUUCGUUCGGAAUAACCAAGGGAAACUUUGGCUAAUACCGGAUAAUCCCGAGAGGGGAAAGAUUUAUCGCUGAAGGAGUAGCCCGCGUCUGAUUAGCUAGUUGGUGAGGUAAUGGCUCACCAAGGCGACGAUCAGUAGCUGGUCUGAGAGGAUGAUCAGCCACACUGGGACUGAGACACGGCCCAGACUCCUACGGGAGGCAGCAGUGGGGAAUAUUGGACAAUGGGGCAACCCUGAUCCAGCCAUGCCGCGUGAGUGAUGAAGGCCUUAGGGUUGUAAAACUCUUUUAUCCGGGAAGAUAAUGACUGUACCGGAAGAAUAAGCCCCGGCUAACUUCGUGCCAGCAGCCGCGGUAAGAC
rnacentral:rRNA from 1 species